UACGUAGGGAGCAAGCGUUGUCCGGAUUCACUGGGUGUAAAGGGUGCGUAGGCGGGAAGGUAAGUCCGCGGUGAAAUCUCACAGCUCAACUGUGAAACUGCCGUUGAUACUGCUUUUCUUGAGUUCGGGAGAGGUUGAUGGAAUUCCAGGUGUAGCGGUGAAAUGCGUAGAUAUCUGAAAGAACACCAGUGGCGAAGGCGGUCAACUGGCCCGUAACUGACGCUGAGGCACGAAAGCGUGGGGAGCAAACAGG
rnacentral:rRNA from 1 species